AAUCAACGCUGGCGGCGUGCCUAACACAUGCAAGUCGAACGCGAAAGCCCCGCAAGGGGUCAGUCGAGUGGCAACCGGGUGAGUAACACGUGGUUGACAUGCCUUCGAGUGGGGGAUAACGUCCCGAAAGGAACGCUAAUACAGCAUGAUAUGCUGUUCUUGGAAAUGCGGAGGUUAAAGCUGGGGAUCGCAAGCACUAGCGAUUGGAGAGGUGUCCGCGCCUGAUUAGGUAGUUGGCGGGGUAACGGCUCAACAAGGCGACGGUCAGUGUCGGGCCGGAGAUGGCGGGCAGACGCACUGGGAGUGAGACACGGCCCAUACGCCUAGGGGAGCGAGCAAGGGGGAAUUGGUCGCAAUGGGCGCAAGCCUGACGACGCAACGCCGCGGGGAGAACGAAGAUCUUCGGGUCGUAAACGCCUGUCUAGCGGUACGAACGCGUCUCGGAUGAAUAAGCCGCGGAAUUGACGGUACCGCUAAAGGAAGCCCCGGCUAACUCCGUG
rnacentral:rRNA from 1 species